UCUAUAAAAAAAAAUUCUUCCCGACUUAUUAUUAAUUGGCCGCCUCCACAGAAAACCCUAGGACAGUUUCUUUUUCUUCUUUCAAUUUGCUCUCUCUUCUCUCUUUUGUUUUGUCAAUUGUGUGGUUCUUUCUUUUGAGAUUGUUCGAGUUUAUCUCUAUCUUCGAAAGUGGUUCUGUUGCUAACCAUGGCGUCUUUCUUGGGUGUACAACGAAGGUGGCGGUGGUAGGGUUGACCACUGGAAUUCCAGAAAGCCGUCUUGAUUGUUAACCUAUAUGCGCUUUUUCUUCUUAAUCCUCAAAGAUGAAUCUACCAAAUCUCAUCUCCAGGUUAAUGGACUCUAAACAGAGCACGUGAAAGUUGAUUUCUUUUGGUGUGUGCAACUGCAGUUUUGCCAAGUCCAAUAUGUGAUGUUUGAUCGAUCACCAUCCUAUUUCUUCACAGUGGGCCUUGCUCGAUGGCCUCUGUCAAGAGAACGAAGGUGGAGGACGACAUGCAACAUAGCCUCGGUGAUCAUGGUUAUUGCUACAGUUGUGGUGGUGGUUGAUACGAGAAAUCAUAGAUAAUCAUUAAAUGUAUUUAUUUUUAAUUUUAUCUAUGUUCUAAGUUUAGUUAUUUAAUUAUUUAAUUUUAUUGUAUUACAAAAUAUUGUCCUAUAUAAAUAAAUUGUUUUUUUUGGUAUUUUAAUUUUAAUUUAUUUGCAA